rnacentral:rRNA from 1 species
GACGAACGCUGGCGGCGUGCUUAACACAUGCAAGUCGAACGGAGUGGCGAACGGGUGGGUAACUCGUGGGUGACCUUCCCUGCACUUCGGGGUAAUCCUUGGUGGCUGGGUUUGCUACCGGCUCGCGUGGGAUGGGCCGGCGGCCUAUCGGCUUGUUGGUGGGGUAAUGGCCUACCGAGGCGGCGACGGGUAGCCUGCCUGGGCGGGGGGACGGCCACCUGGGGCCUGAGACACGGCGCAGACUCCUACGGGGGGCAGCAGUGGGGAGUAUUGCACAAUGGGCGGAAGUCUGAUGCAGCGGCGCCGGGUGGGGGAUGACGGCCUUCGGGUUGGAAACGCCUUUCACCAUCGACGCGGUAGAUGGAGAAGAAGCACCGGCUAACUACGUGCCAGCAGCCGCGGUAAUUC